UCGGGAGGUAAAUUCUCCUAAGGCUAAAUAACGGCGAGAGACCGAUAGCGAACAAGUACCGUGAGGGAAAGAUGAAAAGAACUUUGAAAAGAGAGUUAAACAGUACGUGAAAUUGUUGAAAGGGAAACGAUUGAAGCCAGUCGUACCUUCGGGUAAUCAGCCUUUUGGGUGUGAUUCUGUGGGGUUUGAGGAGUUAAACGCCUUCAUGCCUUGCCAUAUUGGGCAUUUUGGGUGUACUUGCCCGUAUGGUGGGUUAACAUCAAUUUUGAUGGUCAUAAAAUGACUGGAGGAAUGUAGCUUCGAUAAAA
rnacentral:rRNA from 1 species